CGCUGAAGUGGAGUGCGAGAACUUAACCACUACACCACCGGCCCGGCCCCAGAACCUACAUUUUUAACAAAAUCCCCAGGUAUUCAUUUGCCCACAAAACUUUGAGAAGCACUGUUGUGGAACUAUAAAUAUUUAAGCUUCUUAAAAUCUAGCUUUCUUUUGAUUCAAAUUCUGUUUAUAACAAUCUUGGCUAGCUUUUACUUAAUACAAAAUUAGUUUAUAAACAAUUGUAAGCUUAGAAAUCCUUUAUUGAAAUCAGGAAUAAGAAAAAUACUCAUUUAAAAUUUGGUAAAAGUUUUGAAUCCACAUUUUACUGAAGAAAAUAUAUGAUGGCAAGUCAGCACAUGAAAAGAUGCUUAACAUCAUUAGUCAUUAGGAUAAUGCAAACUAAAAUCACAGUGAGAUGCCACUUACACACCUGUUAGAAUUGCUAUAAUAAAGCAAUAAAAAUACCUGACAAUAUUAAGUGUUGGUGAAGCUGUAGACAAGCUAGUGCUCUCAUAUGUUGCUGGUGGGAAUACAAAAUGGUACAAUGACUUUGGAAAAAAAUUUAGCAAUUUUUCAUAAAGUUAACCCACUCUCAUCAUGUGAUUCAGCCAUCCUACUCCUAGAUAUUUACCCAAGGAAGUGAAAACUUACGUCACACAAAAACAUGUAUGUAAAUGUUUAUAGUAGUUCCACUGGUAAUCACCAAAACCUGGAAACAACCCAAAUGUCCUAUAACUAAUGAAUGGAUGGGCAAACACAGGUGUAUCCAUAUAAUAGGAUGCCGCGGGGCCAUAAAAAGAACAAAUUACUGAUACACACAAUAACAUGGAUGAAUCCAAAGUACAUAAAAGAUUAUGCAAGUGAAGAAAGCCAGAUUUCCAUUUGUAUGACAUUAUGGAAAAGGCAAAGCUAUAGGGAUGGAGAACUGAAGUGGUCGCCAGGGUUACAGGGUCGAUGGAGUAUUUGAAUACAAAGGGUUUGAAUACAAAGCAGUUAUGCAUUGAUGGAGCUGUUCUGUGUCCUGAUUGUGAUGAUGGUUACACUGCUCUAGACAUUUGUCAAAUUUCAUAAAACCGCACAUAAAAAAGUAUACUUUAAUGUAUGUAUGUCAAAAGUAAAUUUGCAAAAAUCAGGCACUGUCUGCAAUGCCUGCUCUUUACUUUUCCCAGCAUGUCAAAGAGACGUGGUUUAACCGAAGUCCUCCACAAGCUAAACAGAGUGAAUGAUGUUGCAUGAUGGCAACCAUGGCAGCCAGUGUUUGGCCCUCCACCCACGCUGUUGUGGAGGAACAUAGACUGCUUGCUUUGUUUCCAUCCUCCUCCUUUUCUGAGCUGUGUUCUCUUCUCCUGUAAAUAAGGUGUGACGUCGCCCACGAGAGGACAUGGGAGCACAGUAAUUUGCAUACUCUAAUUAAACUGCUGUAUCAUGAGCUUGCUUUCUUUGGUUAUAUUAGAAUAAGAACAAAGGUGCACCUCUAACUCAGAGUUUGGAGUGUUAUCCCUGGGAACUGGAAUGAAUAAAACAGUCCAGGAAGGCUUGCGUGCCUUGCAACUUUAAUGCAGCUGUCUGCCACCCUGCUUUAGGGCAGAGCACCCAGCGUCACAGUCCUUAGUGGACUGUCCUUUAUCUCAGUUCUAACCCCAGGGUGAUCCAGCAGUUGCGUCUUGCUGUCCUCCAGCACUCACGUGGAAGGCAUCAACACUGAGCAGCCACACCUCAUCCUCCAAUCCUAGCUGGUUCUUGAGCUAGAGAGAAUCGAGACUCCUUGGAGAUCCAUGGAUUCCAUGUCUUGGGAUGGAAAAAAGUUUGCAUGGAUUUUCAGUUACAUUGACUGCCAGAAGACAAGAAAACUUUAAAAAAUAUCUAGGGUCAUACUGAAAAGACAAAAGAGAUAGUUUUUAAAAACUUCUGCUUGCCAAGUUAUAACAGUUUGAAUAUCAAAACAGAAUAUUAACCAUAGCUAGUUGGAAUGAAUUGAAUCUAUAUGAAGGUUAUGACAUUCCAAGACAAAAUAAGUUCAUUAAAGAUGAUAAUUAUGAUACAAAAGAAGAAUGAAUACAAUUUUUAAGUUAACCAAAAUUAGUAGGGGACUAUUGACAUAUAUGAUGUUCUGUUUUUCAGAUGCAUGUGUGUAUUUUUUUACCUACCUCUGUGCAUAAUAGAGAGGGAUAGGCAAAAUAGUUCUUAAAGGGGAUGGGAAUUGCACAAAGAGCAGAAGGGCCUAUAACCUCAAUGGACCAUGGACAAGAACUAGGUGGAAAGCAUGGCAGUGGGUUGCCAUAUGAUGGAUUGUUCAAAAUUUAGAAAGAAGAGCUGAUAGUUCAACUUAGCCCCUUGUCUCCUAGAAAAUGAAACCUCUAGAUGACUCAACUGAUUUUACUGAGAUGUAAAAACUAUAUAAUGAGUUAAAUUGUAAAUCAAGGCUACACAUCCUCCAUUAGUUUGCUAGGGCUGUUGUAACACAGCACCACAGACUUAAACAGAAAUUUAUUUUCUCACAGUCUAGAAGCUAAAAGUCUGAGAUCAAGGUGUCAGCAGUUUCUUUCUGAAGGCUGAGAGGGAGAAUCUGUUUCCUGGCCUUUCCACUCGGCUUAUAGAUACCAUCUUCUCCCUGUGUCUUCACAUUAUCUUCCCUCUGUAUGUGUCUAUGUCCCAAUUUCCUCUUCUUGUACAGACACCAGUCAUAGUGGAUUAGGGUGCACCAUAAUGACCUCACUUUCAUUUAAUUACCUCUUUAAAGAUUCUGACUCCAAAUACAGUUAUAUUCUGAGGAACUAUGGGUUAGGACUUCAAGCUAUGAAUCUUUGGGAGGACAGAAUUCAGCCUAUAACAUGUCCUAUGACAUGGAUGUGAUGAAAGAAGACAGCAGAGACACCAAGUUGCAGGAAAAGGCAUGGCUGUGGAUGGUCUCAUUGACACAAUGAGUCAAUCUUGAUUCUAAGAGGAGCCCAGGUAAGAAAUAGCUGCUAGAGUUUUAUUCACUUUGGAAGUCCCAACAAUGUCAGCUGUUCUACCAUAAUCUUUUUGUUUGAUAGGUCACUGUAACCUGGGAAGAUGCAUUAAAAUAUAUUAAAGUAUGUAAAUAAUGAAGAAAUUAACUAAGUCUAUAGGAUCACUAACUUUCUCACAGGUUGAGUAUAAAUAUAACAAUACAUUUUAUAAUCAAUAUGAUAAUUUGUGAAUAUCACGUCUGUUUUUAAGGUGUUUGAAGCAGUUAAGGGAAUGUGGCACAUUAGGCUUAUGCUUUUAUUGAGAUAGGUAGAGAGCUUGACUAAGGUUUGUAACUAACUUUUAAAUGUAUAAGAGGAUUAGUAAAGCUUACAUUUUAAUUUAUUAGUUAUGCAAGUUUAAAUGUUUAGAGAAAUUUCACUUACUAUAGUUAUAAUUACAUUGGACAUUAAAGAAAGAGCAAGUAGUAACUUUGAUUUUCCACAUACGCAAAAACCACUUCAGGAGUAAGCCACCUACCUAGCAGGACUCCAAAGGCAGUCUGGAGUUGGGAAUGGCUGUCAUGGCAACAAUCCUCAGCACAGAGGGGAGAUGUGGUGUGAACUCAUGGCCCUCACACUCAGCCCUCCCCCCUCUCACCUCCCAGGACUCCUGACUGUUCAUUGCAGUGUAAAAGAGGGAGGCUGAGUUUCAUUCAAAUAUAUAUUUCACUAACUUUACUCCUUUGCAAGACUAAGAUUCCAGAUGGCAAAUGAACAGUGAGUCUGCCUCAUUGGGAAAUACUGUGGCGGUUGUUUUAAUUCUUAAAGAAGUGGGGACUGUGGAAGAUAAUCUGCCACCAAAGUGGUUUGCAUCAAAAUUAUCCUUAUAAUGACUCACAGAUCUUCACUAGUCUCAUUUGUGCUCCAGGUUUUUCCAUGUCUUUGCCUUUGUUCUUGAUGAUAACCCCUCUUCUAGUACUCUCUCCACCCAUCUUUACUCAGAGGUGACCAAAGCUUGGGUCCACUCCCCAAGAAGACUUUUAUAGCACAGCCAGGGCAUGUCCCUGAGCCAGAGCCUACUGUUGAUGAGAAAGUUGAUUCAAUAAAUUUAAUUCAUUAAAAGAGUUCAUGAUUCAAGAUAUUACUACUGUAUCUCAUUACUAUUUGUGUUUGAAAAUAGGGCAAUAGAGGAGCUCAAUGCUUAAUGUGAAGGAAUUAUCUGAGUACUAGACAUUAAUUCAAAUCUUCUUUAUUAAGUAACUCCAUGUGUCCAUGACUAUACUAUGUACCAGGUCCCUGAUUUCAGUCAUGGCAUCAUGGUUCAUGGAAAACUUACCUCAUAGAAAUUAAUGCCAGUGGCUUUCAUUUCUUGAGUAGCUUGCUAAGUGCUAUUUGGUACUUUGUAUACAUCAAUACAUGAAAUACUCCCUCUGCUCAGUGGUCUGUGUAUUAUUUUUCUCAAAUAUGACAAUCAGAGACUCAAAAAUGUUAAGAUAUUUCUGGUAGUAACAGCCGGGUAAAGCUGAAAUUCAAAUUUUGGUCUUACUGACUAUAAAUGUAGUUCACUUUUCACUAUGAUUCACUGUUGCUAUGCUCCUUGAAUCUUAGCUUCCCAUUUGUGAAAUGGUCAUAAUGAUGCCUACCCAUGAGAUCCUUGUGAGGUCUAACAAUGUUGAUGUGAAGAGAAGGCACUAUUCCUUCCAUGAUGAGACCCAGGGUAGCUUCAACCUCUUUCAACCUUCUAGGUCACUUUUCCCCCAAAACCUCAGUUUUUAAUAUAUUUACAUUUAUGGUUAUAUUUACAUUUACAUUUUACAUCUGUGAGUACUAAAAGUGAGGUCUGCCCUGUCUCUCAGUCUAUAUGGGGCACAGUGUGGAUGAAUGGUGUUGUGGCUACCCAUUUCUCCUUCAAGUUGGCAUGGGAUCUAGGUUUGCCAUUGCUUAGAGUAGGGUUGCAAGAUUAACAAAUACAAAUAUAGAAUGUCUAGUUACAUUUAAAUUUGAGAUGAACAAUAUUUUAUUUUAGUAAAAGCAUGUUUCAUGCAAUAUUUGUAGGGAACAUUUCGGAUACACUUAUACAAAAAAUUAUUUGUUGUUUACAUGCAAUUCAAAUGAAAUGCAUAACUGUGCAUCCUAUAUUUUAUCUAGCAACCCUAAUCAUAAGCCCUGGGUCUACAAUUGGCAGCUCUUACUGGAGUCAGGCCCUUCCUAGUCAGGGAACUGGCAAGUCAACAAUGAACAGGCCAGUAGACAGAGUUUGGGGCAGGCAAUGAGAAUCAACCUCAAAGAUAAAGAGGAGGAAAAGGUAGACUCAAAAUACAAGAUCAAGCAUCCACAGGCUCAGGAGGGCUUGGCCUUCUUCCAAAGGACAGUCUCUUUUCCCAUCAGAUAUUAACCUGAUUUUCCUCUUUCAUUUAGAGAAACAAAAAAUUUUGCGUUUCUGCUCAUCUCAAAUUAGGGAACCUUCUAUAUUGACAUCAACUCAACUAAUUAUUUUUUUCUGUUGUGGGGUCAUCUGUAUUCACAGUACACUAAAAUGUGAAGAAAAAGAACAAAAAGUAUCGUUCUGUUUCUAUUUCUUAUUUAGUAUGUGUACUCCACUGGGUCAUGGAGGAGAAUCUAAAUUUAGUUUAAUCCGGAAAACUGAGUCUUGUCCAAUAAUUCCGGUGACAUUUUUGGGGUAAUGCAUUUCCUUAGAGUUGAAUGUCCUGUCUUUGAAUUAGUUUCCUCAUACUCCUAUUUUUCUUCAAGAUGAUGUCAAGGUUCAUGUGGAAGAUGGGCUCAUACAUCCAUGCAGAGUCAUCUGAGUCUGCACUGGUAUUAGCCAAUGACUAGUCUGGUAUGCACUCUGAACCGAAGACUGCCCUGGGGUCAGCAUCUGGACUGCCAUGACUGGAGUUCAAGGUCCUGGCUUUUCUACUGAGGGACCAGAGUUCUCACACACUGUGUCCUCUUUCAAGUCAUGACUCUGGAGGAAGAGAUGUGUUCGAAAGUGUGUUGAGUCUGCUGAUGCUUGCAAGUAAUUGACCCUUUGCCCUCCUGGAGCUGGUGAUUCAGCUUCAGCCACCAUGCUGGCCUCCCUUUCCUGCCCUAGUGCCUCUAGAUGGCAGGCAGUGUCACUCUGGUGGCAGUGGUCUCAGGGAGUGCCACUCAGCCCUCCAUUUCUUCACAGGGAGGGGCUAAAAUAGACCUGAGUUCCCCUUCUCAAAGGAACCUCAUGAAGCUUAGGGUCUUUCUCCCUUCUGUGGCUUUUGAAAGCAUGAGAGGUGGGGGUGGGAAUGGACUCCCUUCCCGGGAAGGUGAUUGUAGGUCUUUCUGUGCUCCCUGGCACCGCAGCUGGGAGCAACUUGGACAUCAUAAGGAGUUCUUCUUAUGGUUUUACAUUAGAAAGAAACUGUUCCCAUCCAUGAUUUCAGUUCAGCCUGGUAUUCAAUCUUUAGUUAGUCAGGACGGGGGUAAACGUUGCUAGUUAUUUCCUAACCUGAAGCACAUUUGGAAUCCAGAAGAGAUGGUGGUGAGCCACCUUCCCCAGGUCAGUUUCCGGGGAGGAAAGUGAGGCUCUGGGAGGGAGGGGUGACUCACCGGGCCUUCUCAGCAUCAGGGAACACAGACCCAAUAGGCACACGGGAGGAGGGGCAUGCCAGAACCCUCAGCUUUCAGGGAUUUAAAAAAAAAUAUUGUCAUUUUUCUCUCCUUUUGGGCCAGAACAUUGGACCUUUCCAUUUCCUGUGACUGGUUUUGCCAGAUGCAGCAAUCGAAUGCCCUAGAGUAGAAACCGAAAUGAUACCCAGGACAGGAGCUUAGUUUCUGCUCUGCUACUUGUUAACUUUGUGAUUUUAAACCAAUGAUUUCCUUUUCUGGACCUGCAUUUCUUUACCAAAAAUAUGAAGGUAUUGCCACUGAUCAAUAGUCUCCAAACUUUUGUUUCCAGCUAUAAGAUCUACUUUUCAAGAGAAAUGUCACUGGAACUGCAAUAUAUGGGACAAGCGCAAGCAAGCAGCUCAGUUGGCAUGGUUGGCUGAGCAAAGGGCAGAGAAAUGAGCCAGCUCGGCUUCCUGCCCCGAGGAGGGGGGCUCCUCCCGACAGGGCAGGCCCCUGGCUCCUUCACAGUUUCCUGGGACUUCACCAAAGAGGGUGUGGAAAUCCCCAAGUAUUGUAGCCAUCAGGGUCUCCAACAUUCCGUAAGUCUGCUCUGUAAAUGAAAUGAGAUCAUGAAAGAGAAAGCACUGAGUAAAACUGAAAGCAUAUUGCUUUGUUACUACGAAGAUUAUGAUCUUUGGACAGAGCCAAAGGGCCCUUGUUUCUGACCUACAGAGGCACGCGGGCUGCUGGCUUCUCAUGGCUUCAGCAAGAACAAAACCCAAAGUACAGCUUCGGGAAGGCGGCUUUGUUCUCCUCUGUGAAUAUCGGGGUCUGAAAAAGGUUGAGCAACUCAGGAAAAGAGAGAGACCUAAAUGGCUUUUCUUAAUAAAGCGUUUCAUCUCCUCUGAAAUCAGAACACAGAAGCAGGGGCAGCAGGAACCCCCAUGGCUAUGGUUAGUCACCAUGCUGCCGCCCCCAAAUCCUUCUCACUGCCCAAUCAAAGAGGGAAAGACUUGCUGGAGCUGACCCACUCACUCUGGUGACCUUGGAAGGAUGAGAGAGAGAAUAACCUCCUGGGAGAGCUCGUCCCACUGGGUUCCUUGCAGUUACAGGUGGAAAUUUGUUCACUCUUUCACUGACUCACUCAUUCAUUCAUUCAUUCACUCACUCAUCCUAUCAAUUAGGAGUAGUACAUGCUAUACACAAGAGAGAACACCUGUAUGUCCUUUUUCCAGAUUCACUAGUUAGGGAAAUGCCUAUGUGCCAGGUCUUUAGAACACAGGGAUAAGCAAGAUUUCACAGGUUCUCCCAUCUCUGAAAAUCCGUGAUGGCAGCAGUCACCUCCCCUCUGAGAGGCCUGCCUUACCCUCUUGGUCUGGAUGAGAUGCCCCUCCUUGUGCUUCCGUAGCGCUUAUGCUCACUAGUGUCCAUCACAUCCCCUGCAGUGGAAGUUCUGGGAGGCAAGGCCCGGGUCUCUGCUGUCCACAGCUCUGGUCCCAGAGAGCUUAGUGUAACUCAUGGAACCUAGCAGAUGUUCAAUAAACACUGGUUGGAAGAAUUUAACACCACACUACGGUAUCUAGUUGCUUGUCUAUCUUCCUUCACCGCUCUCCAUAUGGCCCAUGAGUACCUGAAGGCUCCUGACAUCACAGUGAAAGGAAGUGAACCCAAAACAAAUUCAAAUCCAGGACUCCACCACAUCUUGCAUUGAGUAGCCUGUUUCACUUUCCUCAUAUCUAAACAUGAAAAUGAAGACAUAAUUUCCAGAUCCAGAGCUCUUAAGAAAGUUUAGAAAGAAUACCGAUAACCUGCCUAGGAGAACCCAUAGCAAACAAGGGGCAAACAGUAAUUGCUAGCUAUUAAUAGAAACUUCAAUUUGUUUAAACUUCUAAAGCUCAUUUAAUUGCUGGAAAUAUAGUCUCUUUCUCUGGAAAACUUCUGGAUGUACUUUUACCAGAUUCACCAAUUUUUACCAUUUUGCCACAUUUGUUUUAUCAUCUCUCUCUCUCUAUAUAUGUAUAAACAAACAUUUAUAGAGACACAUAGAUCUGCAUAUACAUACUUACCUGUGUGUAAAUUAUAAAUUCUAAAAUGAUUAUUUGUUUUUCUGAAUCAUUUGAAAGUUACAUACAGUCUGCCCUUUUACUUCUUAAUAUUUCAGUGUGUAACUCCUAACAAUAAGAAUAUUCUCUUAAAUAACCACAAUCUUGUUACAUUUAGGAAACUUAACAUUGUUCCAAUACUUACAUCUAAUUUACCUUCCAAUAUCCCAUGUUUGUCAAUUGUCCCAAUAGUGUCCUUUAAGCACUUACAUGUCCAGUACAGGAUCUGCUCCAUUUAGUGGCCAUGUCUGUUUACUCUCCUUUAAUCUAGAAGGUUCCUCAGUCCUUCUCACUUUCAUACCCAGACGUUUUUAAAGAAUCGAGGCCGGCUGUAGACUGUUCUUCAGUGUGGGUUUGUCUGAUGUUUCCUUGUGAUUAGAUUCAAGUUACUCAUAGGUGAUGGGGUUUCCUUCUCAAUGCAUCACGUCCAGGGGCAUGUGAUGUCCAUCCGCUCCUCUCUGCUAAGGUCAAUUUUGAUCACACCAAGUCUCAUCCCAUUUCUCCAUUGUGCAGUUACUGUUUUUCGCCUUUCAGCUAACAAGCAAUCUGUGCAGAGAGCCUUUGAGACCACGCAGAUAUUCUGCCCCUCGUCAAACUUCCCCCCAGAUUUGGCUUCCGUUGAUGAUUCUUGCACAGCUGGUCCGUAGUAGGCUGGUUGUAGCAUGGUGGUUUCACCCUGCCAUCACUCUUUCAACUUUUCUCAUAGGCUUUCUGCCACAAGGAAGACUCUCUCUGAGUAGGAAAGAUAAUCUAUCUAAGGAUAUUUAUCUCAUUGUCAGAAGGAAAUAGGGGCCUGAGGUGCUGGUGAGAGAUCGGGCUGGAGAGGGAGGUUUGUAUAUUAACCCUGGGGAAGCCUUGAGGAAGUCUGGGAACAAAGAGGAAUAAGCCUGGGAAACAUGGGGCAUAGAGCGUGAGCAGCAGAAAGAAGGUGCAAUCGCAGGAAACUCAACGGUGCAGCAAAGGAGGGCCAGACCCCAUUUGGGCCACAUUCUAAACGGUUAACUGAGGUAAGUCUCUCUACCUUGGAGUCCGCUUGUUCUUCCCUAAAACCAUGACCUCACAGCAUUUUCCCGUGUUUUAGACAGAUAUUUUCCGUAAAGUGCCAAGCACACUGCUUAACAUCAUGUAAGUGCUCAUUAAAUGCUCCCCUCUUCUUCCCUUCCCUUUGCGUUGUUCAGAGAUUGCCAUGGAAACUCACCUCUCUGCUUUCACUGAGGUCUCUUUAAAAAAUUUGCAAUUACUCUAAAAGCUUGACUUUUUUUUCAUCUGAAAUGAGAAAUUCUAAAGGUAAUAAUAUGCUACAUUCUAUGCUAAAAGUAAAUUAAAUGCAGGGUCAAAGCUGAUUUGGAACUCCCCUAGGAAGUCUCAGAGAUGCUUGCAUUUCAAAAUUGUUCUCAUUAUUUUUGGUAAAUUGAAUAUAACAAACUAAUUAUUUUGCAUAAUGAUAAUGAUAUCAUCAUUUUAUUAUUAUCACUAAAACACAAUAAUAAUAAUUGCUACUUUUAAAACAUAGUCUUUGCUAGUCACUUUUCCAGAUCUUUCCCAGUCAUUUCUUCUAAUCCUCCCAACUGCCUUGCUAUGUUUGUAUUCUUUCCAUUUUACAGAUGAAGACAUUGAGGCUCAGAGGGUGGGAUUUGCCGAAGUUCUUAUUGCUGGAAGGUGGCAAGCCAGGCAAUAAGUGUGCUCUGUCUCCAGAACGUGUAUACUUUGUAUGCCUGGUUACUUCUGGACAAUGAUUUUAAUAUGCUGAAAUUCUCCAUUCUCCUAGUGCUUCUUCUGGACUUGGCUUAGCAUAGAACAAAAUGUAGCUAAUCAUGUAACUGAGGCAGAGAUGGUUAAUUCUCACCAAAUAUUCCAUGCAUUCUCCCUCAUUUCCACUCUGCCUUGCUAUUAGGUUGAGGCCAAGUGACUCCUUCUGGACAAUGAAUCUGAAACAGAAUAACACAUGUUACUUCCAGGCUGAGGCAGUUACAAGCUGGUGUGCUUCUUUCCUCUCUCUCGCCAGGCUCAAGUGACCUUAGAAGUGACAUGUUAAGGAGGCUAUAUUAUAAGAUGAAGAGAGCUUGGAUCCCUGAGUCACUGGAUGGAGGAGCAUCCCAGGCAAACCGCGUUAGACUCAGUGUGUGGAAGAAAUCAACUUCUGCUGUGCUAAGCCGCCAUGAUCAUAAAGUUUAUUUGUUACUGCAGCACGGCCUAGCCUACCCAGACUGAAACAAUAGGGAAUCCUUUUUGGUGACCAGUCAUCAUGGGAGGUGUAAGAACCUCAUUAUUUAGGGUGCCAAGAAGGCUAGGUGACUCCACUUACCAUCAUAAAAAUGAAAAUUGAAUAGCACAGCCUCUGUAUCUGUUUUUAGGCAAACCUAUUAUUGUUCUUUUGAAAAGGGGGUGGUAUAAAGAAAAGGGAAUGCCCUCUUUUUCUUUGCUAAGAUUCAGGUUAAGCUGAAUAAAUAAAUCCUCCCCUCCAACCCAGAAGGACAGAGGAAGAAUAAUCUGCAUGAAGAGGUGGGUGCACACUUGGGAGGACAUGUUUUAAAUAUCUUUCCCACAAAAAGCAUCUGCAAACAUUAAAAUCUAAAAAAAGGAAUCAUGAAUAAUGAGAUGUGGCUUGAUUAGAGAAAAUCAUUUUUAAAUCACUGUGGUUUUCACUUUUUCUUUGCACUGGGAGGCUAGGCUUUGUCUGAAUCUUAUUAAUAAGAGAGAGAUACCAAGAUAACUAAGACUGAUAAGGAAUAAAUACAAUUUGGCUUCAUUUAGCUGCAAACAUCAUGUUUUGAAAGAUUAUUAUAAGUGACUUUCAAAUUUGCGUAAUUCUUUUAUAAGGUAAGUUUCUGUUGGACUAUAAAAAUAUUUUUCAAUUUUCCUAGAUGAGAAAAGGCAAAAGAGGUUAAUUAAAAGUCAACUCAAGACUGCUUAGGCACUUAAACAUGUAAUUUCUUGAGUUUCAAACUUAAAUAGCUCAAACUGUAAAAGAGCUGACUAUUAUGAAUCAUGCCUUUACUCUUUAAAUGUUUUUUAUUUCCUUGGUUUGAUUUAAAAUCUUAUCCUAUAAGCUUGCAGAAUCCUAGGUGUAUAAUAACUGCAUGCCCAUUUGAGUGAAUGAAUGAGUGUAAGUUUGCAAACAGAGAGAUUGCUGGGUUCAAGAGAGUCUCUUCUGAGCCCCAGAACAGUAACAGCAGUUUCUAAAAUCUUUCCUUACUUAUUCUCUCUCCACUGCCUCUCUGUCCCCUACCCGACCCUGCCUCCCUCUGUGUUGGACUAUCCAGCUGUUAUCAUCUACCAGAAUCCUACUCCUUCACGAUCCAUUUCAAAUUGUUAUUGCUCAGCGAUGCCUUUCCUGAUUGUGAUGGCCCCUGUCUCUCUUGAUUUCCUAUUACACUCUUUGGGUAACCCACUUAUCAUCUCACGGAGUUCACAUUUUCCAUUGUGUUGUUAAUUGUCUUUUUAUAUUUACCUGCCUCAUCUCUUCAUUUGUGCUGUAGAUUUCCUGGGAUGGGCCAGUGUAUCCAGUGCCCUGUAGAGCAGCCUGUUUCGGGCUUGGUAGUGGAAGGAAGCAUCGAGGCUCCCACGUCAUGCCUACAUUCAGGAUCUAUGUUCAGCUCUGCCUCCAGCAGCAGGUUACUCUUUUCAUGAAGAGGAGGAGGACAAAGCGUAUACUUCAGCCCAGCCACAACGUCAGCACAAAGCUCAAGGCCAGCUGUGGGCUCUUGGAAUAAUUGAGUGAGGCAGAGAAAUGCAGGGUCAUGAUGACAGAGAGAGAAUCUUAGCUGGGGUCUAGAAGUGAUCAAGAGACAUAUUCAGAGUGUACUGUAGAAAAAUAAAAUCUUUAUUAAUAUUUAAAAUUAACUUUGAGCAUGUAUUAAAGAAAGAUUAAAGAUUUUCUGCAAUUACUAA